AUUGAACGCUGGCGGCAGGCCUAACACAUGCAAGUCGAACGAGUGGCGGACGGGUGAGUAAUGUCUGGGAAACUGCCUGAUGGAGGGGGAUAACUACUGGAAACGGUAGCUAAUACCGCAUACCAUCGGAUGUGCCCAGAUGGGAUUAGCUAGUAGGUGGGGUAACGGCUCACCUAGGCGACGAUCCCUAGCUGGUCUGAGAGGAUGACCGGCAAAACUGGAACUGAGCAAGGGCCCAGACUCCUACGGGGGGCACCAGGGGGAAAUAUUGAACAUUGGCGGCAGGCUGAAGCCAGCCAUGCGGGGGGUGGAAGAAAGGCCUUCGGGUUGAAAGUACCUUUCGGCGGGAAGACGUUACCCGCGGAAGAGGCACCGGCUAACUCCGUGCCAGCACCCGCGUAAUUC
rnacentral:rRNA from 1 species